GAACAAAUGGUGAGUGAGGAGGUGACGGGUCACAAGAUCAGAAUGCUUGGAAGGUUCCUGAUCUGAUGUCAUAACUCUGAUUGGCCACUGCUCUGAUAGGGUGACCAUCAGGGAAAUGCUGACCUCUGUGCUUGUAGAUCUGGCAAGAGACCUCAGAAGUGGUGAAGGAGAGAACAUGUGGGGUGCUUCAUAGACAAUGUAGAAAAGGCUGGAAGGCUUAGUAUGGUUGUGAGCACUCAUCUCACUCUCAAGAAACCUCCACUGUCCUUUCUGUAGAGAAGCAUGCGCUGACACAAGCUUCCUGUUGAGGACCAUCAUCCUUUACACAGGCCUUCUGUGAAUGGUCGUCUAAUGAUGAAUGAGUGAAUGAGCCUCCUGACAAGGUGAGGAAGACAGCACUGCCAACUGGACAAUGGAGCAUUUCUCCCACCGGAAGCUUAGCAGUGAGACCAGGAGAGCGAGUGGAAAAGAUGAUCCACUGACUAUCAAGUGCAGAGGACUGGCGAGUUUAUUGGGAGAGUUAAAGAGCAGAUCCCGGACGUACCCUAUGAAACUACAGGAGAGAGAUUGUUUAUUUGCAAACUGCCUGAGAGCGACUUUGGGCAGCAUGAAGACAAGACCCUCUUUCAGCAGAUGUUUGUGGAGCUCUCUGUGAAGGCCUGUACUUGGGCUCUCAAGGAGGCAGGGGAAGGUCAGCUGAGAAUAUGGGAAAGUGGAGGAGGAGAAGGAUGCCAGGGUUAGGACUACAAGAGGACAACAACCAAAAGGUUUGGAAAUUAGCAUGAGAUCAGGUGUCUAAUGCAUAAAAGAAAUCAUCUCCUGUAGGACACAAACCACAGUGAGGCAGGGGCUCAGUAUUUUCUCUGGUUGGACCCUGUAAUGGAAGGUCACAACUGAAACACCCCAAUGUUAAUAGCCUCGUGACACUGACUGCCUCUACGAGUCAGCACUUUCUAAGGAAAUUGACUUUGAUUUGUCUCACUCCACCUCACAGCUGUGGAAGCAAUGAGGAUUUACAUACCUUUCCCAUGCUGAUCUGGUAUUCCAUCAUGGUUGUCUGAUCCCAGAGCCUGAGCUCUUACCCACUGUACUAUACUCUUCCUGAGACACUUAAUACUUUGACCAAAGGCCAUUUUUUCUCAGGGCCCUUUAUAAACACAAGCCUGAGAUCUAUAGGUGUG
ensembl:lncRNA LOC102553338 uncharacterized LOC102553338